CCGUGAAGAGUCUUCCUUUAUCCCCUGUCACAAAUGCCUGAGAUUCUUUUCAUGAAAGUCUUUAUGAGAUCAUCAGAGAUAAAUUUCAGAAGAAAAUCUCACCAAGGGAGGGAGGGACCUGAUGAUCAUUCACACGAUGAAAAGAAAGAAAAUGGAACCUCAGGAAGGCUGGGUGACUUGCUCAAAAGCACACAGUGACUGAGAAUAUGUUAAUGCUGGAGUGUACGCCUGGCCUCAGCUAUUACUGCAGUGAGGAGAACAGCUUCUUGAGAAAGUCUCUACACACACUCCAUGGAACGGUCACAGGGUGACUCCAGUGGGCUUGUUUUGGAAGCAGCUACCUCCUCACCCUGCCCCCACCCCUGGAAGAGGCCUAACUUCUCAUGAAACCAGUUUCUCUGAGGUCAAGGACUGAGAAUAAAUU